rnacentral:lncRNA from 1 species
AAGAAGGUUCUGUGUGUUUGGGUUCUUGCCCCAAGCUCUCUCCCUCCAUAUUACAUCCACUUCAUCAAAUGUCAAUCCUUUGGUCUCGGGAACAUACAGAAGCACAAAGAAAAAUGCAACCACAGCUAUACCAGCAAGAAUCAAGAAACUAGAACCAAUGCCUAUACCCUCAGCAAUUGAAAGGAAGCUCUCUGACACAAUCAAGUUUGAAAUCCAACACACUACUGCUGCCAUGCCCCCACAGACACCUCUAUAUUCUUCUGGAUAUAUCUCUGAGUUCACAGUCCAUGGCACAGGUCCCAUUCCUGGUGAAAAAAACAAAAU